rnacentral:lncRNA from 1 species
CGCUGCGCACUUCUAGUCCUCCAGCUAGCAGAGCACGUUUGGGCUGGUACCAUGAUAUGCUCAUGUGUCAUGAGUUAGCCUUGUUCUUGGUCAGCCUCUUGUUGGGCCCCAGCUGGACGUGUCCAUGGCCUCCUUCCUCACAGUGUUCAGGGGGGAUCGAUUUGCUGCCUGGUGCUCACAAUCGGGCAGGAUCUGGCGUGCCUUCAUGGAGGUGAAGGCGAGAGAGAAAGUGGCAUCUGUCACAAGAUGGAUUGCAGAAUGGAAAAUAAUGGUAAAGCUGCGCUGUCCAGAUCCCACUGCAGAAGGAACUGGGUGCUGAGGCUGUGGGUCUCUUGAGGAGCUCGGCUCUGGUGGAGCAAAGGCCUGCCUGCGUGUCCCACUGCUCCCAACACCCCAAAAAACUGCCCAGACUGAGUGGGCCAGGAGGAGAGUAGAGCUUUAACCCUUGGCACACUCACUGGUUGAGCUGAUGGUCAGGCAGACUUGCUCUAUUACUUACUGUUGGUUCCUAGAGAAGGUGGAAUGUAUUUUAAGAAAAAAAUGGAUUGUCAAAUCCUAAAGUGUGCCAGCACCCAAACCUGAUUUGGUGGUUCAACCUGGGUAGCUGAUAGCCACGACAGCCUACCAUCAUUACACCUCAAAGUCUCCUAGAAGGAGAACAACCCUUGGGAGGACUUGAAGUGCUAGAGCUAGACUUGAGCAGGGGACCAGGCUGCCCGGAGAGGUUUGGAAUCUCCCUCCUUGGAGAUGCUCAGAAGCUGUCUGGACAUGGUCUGUGCAGUCCACUCCAACUGGCCUUCACUGAGGAGGGGUUUGAACCAGCUGACCCCCAGAGGGUGCUUCCAACCUCAUGCACACUGAUUCUGUGACUUAAUGCCUCACAGAAAAUUUGCCAGUGUAUGUGUAUGGCUUUUGAGACUGGGAGUGAUCAGAGGGUAGGUGGCCACCAAGCAGAGCUUAGGAC